rnacentral:rRNA from 1 species
UACGGACGGGGCAAGCGUUGUUCGGAAUCAUUGGGCGUAAAGGUCGCGUAGGUGGUUCUGUAUGUCUACCGUGAAAGCGUACGGCUCAACCGUAUUUUGUCGGUGGAAACUGCAGGACUUGAGGCUGGGAGGGGCUGGUGGAAUUCCCUGUGUAGCGGUGAAAUGCGUAGAGAUCUGGAGGAAUACCGGUGGCGAAGGCGGCCCCCUGGACAAAGACUGACGCUCAGGUGCGAAAGCGUGGGGAGCAAACAGG